AACGCAUAUUGCGCCUGCGGCUCCGGCCAAUGGCAUGUCUGCCUCAGCGUCGGGCUAACAUCAUGACGUGAUCAUUGUCUCAUCAUGGUUGUGGUCGUUCCAUUCAGUUAUCAGAGUGGAUCGAUUGAAGCGGAAUGACAUCUCUGCUACUCGAAACCCUGUAUUGGGUUCGACAACUAGUCAGAGUUUGGUAUACAUGGUCACUUCGGUGUGCGUGUUUCCAUCCUUGAUUUAGUUGUUGCCUUCGUUGCUGAAGGAAGAGUGUAUGUGGUGGUGUCCAAACCGGGAAUCAACAAUAGACAAUUAUUAUCUCGACCUGAGCUCAGGCAAGAACACCCGCUGAACUUAA
rnacentral:misc_RNA from 1 species